GUCUACGGCCACGCCACCCUGAACGAGCCCGAUCCCGUCUGAUCUCGGAAGCUAAGCAGGGUCGGGCCUGGUGAGUACUUGGAUGGGAGACCACCUAGGAAGGCCAGGUGCUGGAGGCG
rnacentral:rRNA from 1 species